UACGUAGGGUGCAAGCGUUAAUCGGAAUUACUGGGCGUAAAGGGCGCGUAGGCGGCCAUUCAAGUUAGGUGUGAAAGCCCUGGGCUCAACCUAGGAAUUGCACUUGAUACUGUUUGGCUUGAGUUCGGGAGAGGUGAGUGGAAUUCCCAGUGUAGAGGUGAAAUUCGUAGAUAUUGGGAAGAACACCAGUGGCGAAGGCGGCUCACUGGACCGACACUGACGCUGAGGCGCGAAAGCGUGGGGAGCAAACAGG
rnacentral:rRNA from 1 species